GAUGAACGCUGGCGGCGUGCUUAACACAUGCAAGUCGAACGAAGCACUUUAUUUGAUUUCCUUCGGGACUGAUUAUUUUGUGACUGAGUGGCGGACGGGUGAGUAACGCGUGGGUAACCUGCCUUGUACAGGGGGAUAACAGUUGGAAACGGCUGCUAAUACCGCAUAAGCGCACGGCAUCGCAUGAUGCAGUGUGAAAAACUCCGGUGGUAUAAGAUGGACCCGCGUUGGAUUAGCUAGUUGGUGAGGUAACGGCCCACCAAGGCGACGAUCCAUAGCCGACCUGAGAGGGUGACCGGCCACAUUGGGACUGAGACACGGCCCAAACUCCUACGGGAGGCAGCAGUGGGGAAUAUUGCACAAUGGGCGAAAGCCUGAUGCAGCGACGCCGCGUGAGCGAAGAAGUAUUUCGGUAUGUAAAGCUCUAUCAGCAGGGAAGAUAAUGACGGUACCUGACUAAGAAGCACCGGCUAAAUACGUGCCAGCAGCCGCGGUAAUACGUAUGGUGCAAGCGUUAUCCGGAUUUACUGGGUGUAAAGGGAGCGCAGGCGGUGCGGCAAGUCUGAUGUGAAAGCCCGGGGCUCAACCCCGGUACUGCAUUGGAAACUGUCGUACUAGAGUGUCGGAGGGGUAAGCGGAAUUCCUAGUGUAGCGGUGAAAUGCGUAGAUAUUAGGAGGAACACCAGUGGCGAAGGCGGCUUACUGGACGAUAACUGACGCUGAGGCUCGAAAGCGUGGGGAGCAAACAGGAUUAGAUACCCUGGUAGUCCACGCCGUAAA
rnacentral:rRNA from 1 species